rnacentral:rRNA from 1 species
AUUGAACGCUGGCGGCAUGCCUUACACAUGCAAGUCGAACGGCAGCACGGGUGCUUGCACCUGGUGGCGAGUGGCGAACGGGUGAGUAAUACAUCGGAACAUGUCCUGUAGUGGGGGAUAGCCCGGCGAAAGCCGGAUUAAUACCGCAUACGAUCUACGGAUGAAAGCGGGGGACCUUCGGGCCUCGCGCUAUAGGGUUGGCCGAUGGCUGAUUAGCUAGUUGGUGGGGUAAAGGCCUACCAAGGCGACGAUCAGUAGCUGGUCUGAGAGGACGACCAGCCCCACUGGGACUGAGACACGGCCCAGACUCCUACGGGAGGCCGCCGUGGGGAAUUUUGGGCAAUGGGCGAAAGCCUGAUCCAACAAUGGCGCGGGGGGGGAGAAGGCCUUCGGGGUGGAAAGGACUUUUGUCCGGAAAGAAAUCCUUGGCCCUAAUACGGGCGGGGGAUGACGGUACCGGGAGAAUAAGCACCGGCUAACUACGUG